UAUAUUUUUGGGGUAUUCAUUGCAUAGUAAAGCUUAUCGAGUCUUUAAUAAGUAUUCAUUGUAAGUAGAAGAGUCUGUGCAUGUCCAUGUUGACGAAUCUUCUCCAAAAGAGAAGAGGAAGGUAUUCUAUGUUGAUGUUGCAGGUGAUUUAGAAGAAGCAUACUCUAAGGACAUAGACUAGGACAAAGAAGUAGAAGCAGA
rnacentral:lncRNA from 1 species